rnacentral:rRNA from 1 species
AUUGAACGCUGGCGGCAGGCCUAACACAUGCAAGUCGAACGAGUGGCGGACGGGUGAGUAAUGUCUGGGAAACUGCCCGCUGGAGGGGGAUAACUACUGGAAACGGUAGCUAAUACCGCAUACCAUCGGAUGUGCCCAGAUGGGAUUAGCUAGUAGGUGGGGUAACGGCGGCCCUAGGCGACGAUCCCUAGCUGGUCUGAGAGGAUGACCAGCCACACUGGGACUGAGAAACGGUCAAGACUCCUACGGGAGGCAGGAGUGGGGAAUAUUGCACAAUGUGCGCAAGCCUGAUGCAGCCAGGCCGCGUGUAUGAAGAAGGCCUUCGGGUUGUAAAGUACUUUCAGCGAGGAGGCGUUACGCGCAGAAGAAGCACCGGCUAACGCCGUGCCAGCAGCCGCGGUAAUAC